rnacentral:rRNA from 1 species
UACGUAGGGCGCAAGCGUUAUCCGGAAUUACUGGGCGUAAAGGGCGCGUAGGCGGCGCGACAAGUCACUUGUGAAAUCUCCGGGCUUAACCCGGAGCGGCCAAGUGAUACUGUAGUGCUAGAGUGCGGAAGGGGCUACUGGAAUUCUCGGUGUAGCGGUGAAAUGCGUAGAUAUCGAGAGGAACACCUGCGGCGAAGGCGGGUAGCUGGGCCGACACUGACGCUGAGGCGCGAAAGCCAGGGGAGCGAACGGG